rnacentral:rRNA from 1 species
GACGAACGCUGGCGGCGUGCUUAACACAUGCAAGUCGAACGGAAAGGCCCUGCUUUUGUGGGGUGCUCGAGUGGCGAACGGGUGAGUAACACGUGAGUAACCUGCCCUUGACUUUGGGAUAACUUCAGGAAACUGGGGCUAAUACCGGAUAGGAGCUCCUGCUGCAUGGUGGGGGUUGGAAAGUUUCGGCGGUUGGGGAUGGACUCGCGGCUUAUCAGCUUGUUGGUGGGGUAGUGGCUUACCAAGGCUUUGACGGGUAGCCGGCCUGAGAGGGUGACCGGCCACAUUGGGACUGAGAUACGGCCCAGACUCCUACGGGAGGCAGCAGUGGGGAAUAUUGCACAAUGGGCGGAAGCCUGAUGCAGCAACGCCGCGUGCGGGAUGACGGCCUUCGGGUUGUAAACCGCUUUCGCCUGUGACGAAGCGUGAGUGACGGUAAUGGGUAAAGAAGCACCGGCUAACUACGUGCCAGCAGCCGCGGUGAUACGUAGGGUGCGAGCGUUGUCCGGAUUUAUUGGGCGUAAAGGGCUCGUAGGUGGUUGAUCGCGUCGGAAGUGUAAUCUUGGGGCUUAACCCUGAGCGUGCUUUCGAUACGGGUUGACUUGAGGAAGGUAGGGGAGAAUGGAAUUCCUGGUGGAGCGGUGGAAUGCGCAGAUAUCAGGAGGAACACCAGUGGCGAAGGCGGUUCUCUGGGCCUUUCCUGACGCUGAGGAGCGAAAGCGUGGGGAGCGAACAGGCUUAGAUACCCUGGUAGUCCACGCUGUAAACGGUGGGUACUAGGUGUGGGGUCCAUUCCACGGGUUCCGUGCCGUAGCUAACGCUUUAAGUACCCCGCCUGGGGAGUACGGCCGCAAGGCUAAAACUCAAAGGAAUUGACGGGGCCCCGCACAAGCGGCGGAGCAUGCGGAUUAAUUCGAUGCAACGCGUAGAACCUUACCUGGGUUUGACAUGGAUCGGGAGUGCUCAGAGAUGGGUGUGCCUCUUUUGGGGUCGGUUCACAGGUGGUGCAUGGCUGUCGUCAGCUCGUGUCGUGAGAUGUUGGGUUAAGUCCCGCAACGAGCGCAACCCUUGUUCACUGUUGCCAGCACGUUAUGGUGGGGACUCAGUGGAGACCGCCGGGGUCAACUCGGAGGAAGGUGGGGAUGACGUCAAGUCAUCGUGCCCCUUAUGUCCAGGGCUUCACGCAUGCUACAAUGGCUGGUACAGAGAGUGGCGAGCCUGUGAGGGUGAGCGAAUCUCGGAAAGCCGGUCUCAGUUCGGAUUGGGGUCUGCAACUCGACCUCAUGAAGUCGGAGUCGCUAGUAAUCGCAGAUCAGCAACGCUGCGGUGAAUACGUUCCCGGG